rnacentral:rRNA from 1 species
AGAUUGAACGCUGGCGGCAUGCCUUACACAUGCAAGUCGAACGGCAGCAUGACGUGUAGCAAUACACGUUGAUGGCGAGUGGCGAACGGGUGAGUAAUAUAUCGGAACAUGUCCUGUAGCGGGGGAUAACCUAUCGAAAGAUGGACUAAUACCGCAUACGCUCUAUGGAGGAAAGCGGGGGUCGCAAGACCUCGCACUAUAGGAGUGGCCGAUAUCGGAUUAGCUAGUUGGUGGGGUAAAAGCCCACCAAGGCGACGAUCCGUAGCUGGUCUGAGAGGAUGAUCAGCCACACUGGAACUGAGACACGGUCCAGACUCUACGGGAGCAGCAGGUGGGGAAUUUUGGACAAGUGGCGCAAGCCUGAUCCAGCCAUGCCGCGUGAGUGAAGAAGGCCUUCGGUUGUAAGCUCUUCUAGCGAGAACGAAAGUAGGUUCGUGCUAACUAACCGAACGAUCGAGUGACGGUACCUAGAAGAA